rnacentral:rRNA from 1 species
UACGAAGGAUCCAAGCGUUAUCCGGAUUCAUUGGGUUUAAAGGGUGCGUAGGCGGGCUUAUAAGUCAGCGGUGAAAUCUCUCGGCUUAACCGAGAAACUGCCGUUGAUGCUGUAGGUCUAGAGUACAGAUGAUGUUGGCGGAAUAUGACAUGUAGCGGUGAAAUGCUUAGAUAUGUCAUAGAACACCGAUUGCGAAGGCAGCUGACAAAACUGUAACUGACGCUGAGGCACGAAAGUGCGGGGAUCAAACAGG